ACAAACUUGGUCAUUUAGAGGAAGUAAAAGUCGUAACAAGGUCUCCGUUGGUGAACCAGCGGAGGGAUCAUUACGAACAGAGUGUAACUACUCUAUAAACUCAUUGAAAAUUCUAUUUUUCUAUGUUUCGGCAGACGAUUCCCCGGUGGGAUCAGUUGCUUCACAAGCAUCUGUCGACAGUUAUCAAACGUUUGUUUUAGUGGUUUUGUGAAUCAUACAAAUCCCCAAAAAAAAACAAACUUUAAAAAACUUUCAACAACGGAUCUCUUGGUUCUGGCAUCGAUGAAGAACGCAGC
rnacentral:misc_RNA from 1 species